rnacentral:sRNA from 1 species
AAAAAAAGAUAGCAAACCAUUAGCACGACUUAAAUCCAUAAUUUCUUUAUUUUCUAAACCAUUUAAUGAAAACGCUUCAACAAUUUCAACAGCUACAAAAGUUUACAUUAUAAUUUCAGUUGUAAGAACACCGUUAUAAAAGUAUCUUAUAUAGAGACAUAUAUUUUGAGUCAUUGAAAAAUAUGUGAGACAAGGAUAAUAACAACAGAUCAUCAACAAAAUUAAUAACAUUCAAAUCCAAAUAUAUGGAAAAAAUUGUAUCUCUAAAGCUAUCCCGGCAGGACUUGGUAUCUUUAGCCUCUUUACAAGCACA